rnacentral:sRNA from 1 species
GUUGGGUGUGGUGAUGCACACCUGUAAUCCCAACAUUUUGGGAGGCUGAGGCAGGAGAAUCGCAAGUUCAAAGCCAGCUUCAA